GAUGAACGCUGGCGGCGUGCCUAACACAUGCAAGUCGAGCGAUUCUCUUCGGAGAAGAGCGGCGGACGGGUGAGUAACGCGUGGGUAACCUGCCCUGUACACACGGAUAACAUACCGAAAGGUAUGCUUAUACAGGAUAACAUAAGAAAUUCGCAUGUUUUUCUUAUCAAAGCUCCGGCGGUACAGGAUGGACCCGCGUCUGAUUAGCUAGUUGGUGAGGUAAUGGCUCACCAAGGCGACGAUCAGUAGCCGACCUGAGCGGGUGAUCGGCCACAUUGGAACUGAGACACGGUCCAAACUCCUACGGGAGGCAGCAGUGGGGAAUAUUGCACAAUGGGCGAAAGCCUGAUGCAGCAACGCCGCGUGAGCGAUGAAGGCCUUCGGGUCGUAAAGCUCUGUCCUCAAGGAAGAUAAUGACGGUACUUGAGGAGGAAGCCCCGGCUAACUACGUGCCAGCCGCCGCAGUAAAAC
rnacentral:rRNA from 1 species